GUACACGCUGUGACUAGCAUAUCAAUAAGCGGAGGAAAAGAAACUAACAAGGAUUCCCCUAGUAACGGCGAGUGAAGCGGGAAGAGCUCAAAUUUGAAAUCUUAAAGGGUUUCCCUUUACGAAUUGUAGUUUAAAGAAGUGUUUUCUGUUGAGGUUUUGGUAAAAGUUCUUUGGAAUAGGACAUCAUAGAGGGUGAGAAUCCCGUAUUUGACCUUUACUUUCAACUUUGUGAUACACUUUCAAAGAGUCGGAUUGUUUGGGAAUGCAGUCCAAAAUGGGUGGUAAAUUUCAUCUAAAGCUAAAUAUUGGCGAGAGACCGAUAGCGAACAAGUACCGUGAGGGAAAGAUGAAAGGAACUUUGAAAAGAGAGUUAAACAGUACGUGAAAUUGUCAAAAGGGAAGCGUUUGACACCAGUGUUGUUUUUCUGAAAAUCAAUUAAAGAACUGUUUAUGCUAAGCUGUUUAGACUUUAUCAGCUAUCUGUUUAGUUUUGAGCUUUUCUUUAAUGCACUUUUCAGUUAACAAGUCAACAUCAAUUUCUUUUGCUGUAAAGAAGCUUGAGGAAGGUGGCUUGCGAUUUCGUUAAGUGUUUAUAGCCUCUUGCCUCUGCAGUCGGAGAGAUUGAGGUCUGCAGCGUAGAUCCUUCGGGGUUAGAUGCAUUUGUGCUAAGUUAUAGCCUUUCAUAGACAACUUGUUGACUAUGAUCAGUCAUGUAGCUUACUCGCCUAUGUUAUUUUACCUACGCUUAGGAUGUUGAAGAUAUGCGCGACACG
rnacentral:rRNA from 1 species